ACGCGAAGGCUAAGAGCGGAAGGAGGUUUGGGAUUGGAUGCCGCCAGCACUUCCUGGUUUAGAGGCGCCGGAACCGGGCUAUCCCAGAGGGAGCGAGGGAGUAUCUGCCCUUGGUUGCGAUGUGGUUCUGCGAAGUUCGCUCUUGGAGGGUCUGGUGACCCCUGGAGCAGCUCUAGGGCCUCAGGUUUCCUGGCACCGUCGCCCUUGUUUUCUGUCCGGGUGGCGCCAGGCUUUGGGGCUUUGGCGCGGCAGGUGCCAGAGGUCAGUUAGGCGCGGCCUCUGGCCGCGGCUCCUCCUUGGUCCUGGGAGGACCCCCGGCGCCCUCUAGUGCCAGUCAAGGUCUGGCUGCGAAGGUUGGCGGUCUGGGAGCGGCCCCUGCGUGGACCACUUACGGCGUUCCCUUUUGUGGGCUUUUUUCAAAGUGCCUGAACCAGCCUGAGGACAAGCACCUUCUUGCCUUAGUUACUGUUGUACUGUACCGCCACCGCUAGAUGUCAUGCCUGUCGCCUGAAGUGAAGUCGCUCAGUCGUGUCCGACUCUUUGCCAUCCCUUGGACUGUAGCCUACCAGUCUCCGUCCAUGCAAUUUUCCAGGCAAGAGUACUGGAGUGGGUUGCCAUUUCCUUCACCAGAGGAUCGUCCCGACCCGGGGAUGGAACCUGGGUCUCCCGCAUUAGUAGUUGCCCAAUAAACAUGCUUGACUACAUUCAUUAAUCCCUGAAAUUGGGAGGGAUUGCCAGAAGUGAUGUUGCAGGAAAGGGGAACCCCAGCUAGGGGCAGAGAGUGGGUUUUCAUCUAAUAAUCGGAAAUGAAUUGUAUGAGGAGAUACAUACGCUGACAAAGCAAGAUACUUUAUUAGGUAAGGGCGUCUGGACAGAGAGCAGCAGGGUAAGGGAACCCAGAACUGCUCUGCCACUUGGCUCAGCCUCAGGUUUUAUGAUGAUGGAGUUAGUUUUCUGGUUGUCUCUGGCAGAUUAUUCUAAGAGUCCUUUCUGGUGGCACAUGCAUCACCCAGCCAAGAUGGAUUCCAGUGAGAAGGAUUUGGAGAGGUUGGUAGGACUUAUGUGAGGCAGGAAAUGGAUGGGCUUCAGUCUAGGCGUUUACAGUUGGGCUACUGUUCAGCUUCCUGGGAUGAGCGCCAUUCAUCACCAGGUACCUAUACAUUUCCUGAAGCAAAAGACAAAUGGGCUCUAGGACUACAUAUUUAAGACCGGACUCCUAUCUAUGUUUUGAGAUCUCAGCAACAGGAAUAGGGUAAAUAACCAGACAUUAGGCAUUUUUAUGGCAGGGACCGAGUGGGACUAAACCCUAUUAAAAGACUAUUAAGAGGUAAUCACACACCUCCCAUGCUUGGGGCAAAGGAGAUGUUUCACAUGUGCAGAAAGUCUCCUUGGGGGUCAAAAGGAGGGGGGAGCGCCAUUGCAUAGUAUAUGAUGCUAAUACGUGAUCCCAUAGGCUCCUGGACUGAAAUCUAUCUUGGAAAAAACCUGCACACUCAUGGUGGGGAGGGUCCUAAGGCAGGUCAGAUGUGGAAAAAGAAACCAGGUAAUUGGCUAAAGGUAAACAAAGACCUGGAAGAACUGACCUAUAUAAAUGACUUAACUACGCCUUCACUACACUCCUCCUUAUUCAGGGAGACACCCCACACCCUUUCUAUCCUAGUAUGCAUCUCUGGCUUGCUUCUAUCUUAACAAACUAUUUCUCUCUGUGUUCUCCCACUUUUGGUUGUGCCAUAUCUCUAAAAAUAAACUUUGUACCUGUAUUUA